rnacentral:lncRNA from 1 species
GCAAUUUGGGAAAUGUAAUCAUCCCUGCUGUACCAGCAAUGUUGACUGUCCUAGGCAGUAAUUGACACCCGUUUUGUGGCAACUCUUGCAGCCUAAAACGUAAGCUCCUUAGUCCCAGAAACGCUGAUUGUUGAAUUUCUGGGUAAAGCAGUGUUGAAGCAUGGAAACCCGCCAGCAGCUUUGUGUGUCAUAGUUGCUGGUUUUUAAUUAACUGGAAGCGAAUUGUGGCCUGCAGUACUCCAGCAUGUUCGACCAGCAUGGUUAUGUACUAUUAUGGACAGAAUCCUAUCCUCUAGGAGUAAUUUGAAAUCGAUUUUCGUGUACUAGAUUGUCGAGUUGGUAAUGUUUGAUUCAUGUUUCGACACUUGUUUUGGAUCAUUGUGGUGUUUUAUUGUGAAUGCCCUGGUACCAGGAGUAGUUUUACUUACAAUCUUGAUCAAUAUAAUUUAUUUACUUGAUCAAAAAAAAAAAUUGUUGUAGUAACAAAACUUGGGGAAUCUCUUUUCGUCAUCCCAGCCGAUGAUGUUUAACCCGUUUGCCACCAUCAACUAGAACGUGCGACUUCAACAGCA